CUGGCGUCUUGUUCGGAGGGAUUCCAGAACGGGUCAGGUGAAGUCCAGGUUCCUUCUUUCCUGGGAGAAAUCCUGGGCGGCAGCUAAUGGUGCUCUCAGAGUUGCCCUGCUUCCAGGUUCUGUAAAGGGCGCUUGCGUACUUAACCUCUACAGCGAAUUUAACCUGCGGGGAGCAGACUGUCAAGUUACAGAGAGUCUGAACCACUGGCUAAUUACGGCAGAGCUGGGAUGCAAGCCUGGGGCGUCUGGCUCAGGCCCUGACUCACAUGUACGAGGUUUCUGAAACCAGACAGGAAUCAGGGCGCAUCUCGCUUCCCCUGCACUGCUGUGGGGCCCGGGGAGCUCACCCACCUCGUCGGCGUGCUGCCUUUCUUCUCUUCCCCCCUGUAGGAUUGAGUGAGAGCUCCGCUGAUGGCUGGUCGAAGCUCCUGGCUCAUAGUGCGCGCUCAGUGCAUGAGGGCCACUCGAGCCUUGGCCUUGUCUCCCAACAGGUCACUCAAGGUCCAGCUGCACAGAACAGAAUCCACUCACAGUACAAGCAGGGUUUUGUUUAUUUUGUGCCCGAGGUGUUAAAUGGCUUACACCACUGUUAGAAGGCUGAAGAAGCAGACAGAGGAGUUUACCAUUCAAGAAGAAAUCCCUAAACUGUAGCGCCAAGCUGACUACCACGGAAGCUCUGAGUUCUCCUGUGAAAAGGAAACCGCUGAUUCCUGCAAUCCAGAAACCGUCCAAGCAGGAGAGACCACCGACUGCUGCUCCCAGCACUGGGAAAGCCCACAUCUGCUGUGUCUCACCAGCGAAAAGAUGCCCUACUUCCUGAAACUCAAGAAACCAGGGAUACCAUCUCUGCUCCAGACUGACUAAAUGGCUCCCAGGUGAGAAGCCACAGUUCUGCGCUGGUACAGCUGUCAGCCAAGCUCAGGUGCACACGGAGACGUGGUCAGUGUCUUCGAUUCGCACUAGAUGCGAGCCCUCAGAGAAACGUGACGAGGUCAACGGACGUCAGAUGGAGGAGUCCUUGACUGCGAGUCCUCGCAAGACUGCAAAUGCAAACACUGACUGAAACCUGCCGAAGCCACCCUCCCCUCGCAGCAGCCGCCGGUGGAGGAGACCGCUACCAAAAACUGUUGUACAGGGAUUCCUGAGGACUCGAAUGCUUCAGAGAGGUGCUAGUGAGCCUGGUGGAUUCCGAACAACACAUGAUGCUAACAGCAAGCAAAUGGAAGACAAAAACCACACUGGGUCCGUGUGGGACGGGCCUGUGGCUUGACACUGACUGUGAGUUGACCUUGGGUUCCAGCACCGACAGGUCAUUGUCCUGCAGCGGGUGGAGGCUACUUCAGAAGGGACGGUGUUGCUUCCCCAAGUGCAUCUUUGCACUCCACGUGGCCCGCGUUGUUAGGAAGACUAGAAGCGGAUGAAAACCUUACCCCAGAGCGUGAUCAUCCUCAUCAGAGAGGAAGAGCGCCCACUCGGGCACCUGGUCUUUGAGUGCAGGGCUGCAGUCUUUGGUAUGAGGAGUUCUGGGGAGCAGCCCCCCUGGACUUGCCAGAAGCCAUGGAAAAGGGGGUAGCCGGCGAGAGGUCCUCCACCCUCCAGGGAGCAGCCCUCCAUCGGGGCAUCUGAUGUAGGUUUUGAUGGAGCCAGUUUCCAUAGAUACUGAACAAGUAAGUGAUCACCAAUCCCAAACACAAAUCCUCACCAACAGAACAAAAGAAGCAAAACUAUAGAAAGGAAAAUCUUACUGUUUAAUGACUUAUUCUCACUUUUUUUUUCUCUCUCUCUAACUUAUCUCAGGAUUAAUGACACCAAUGCCUUUUUUUUUAAGAUUUAUUUAUUUAUUUGAAAGUAAGAGUUACACAGAGAGAAGGAGAGGCAGAGGCAUAGAGAGAGAGGUCUCCCAUCCACUGGUUCACUCCCCAAUUGGCUGCAACAGCCGGAGCUGCACCAAUCCGAAGCCAGGAACCAGGAGCUCCUCCCGGGUCUCCCAUGUGGGUGCAGGAGCCCAAGGACUUGGGCCGUCUUCUACUGCUUUCCCAGGUCACAGCAGAGAGCUGGAUUGGAAGUGGAGCAGCCUGGAUUCGAACGGGUGCUCAUAUGGGAUGCCGGCACUUUACCGGCUACGCCACAGUGCCGGCCACGGUGCCUCUUAUGUUUAAAAUCAGCUAGGAAGCUCAUUAUCAGUAAGUGCUUGAGAAAUGAGAGGGGCCCAACCUCUCUCUCCCCAAGAUACUCAUCAUUUAGUAAGGAAUUCGGCAUCUUGAAGGAACCAGAACUUAAUCAGGAGGCAGUGGGAGCCACGGGCGGUUCUCGGUCAGGGGCGUGGCACAGUCAGAGCUGCAUUCGGAGACGGCAGCGUGGGAAACCUGGGCUGGGCAGUGAGAGCAUGGGGAGUGUGUGGCAGCCUUUUAGGGCC